rnacentral:rRNA from 1 species
AGUGAACGCUGGCGGUAGGCCUAACACAUGCAAGUCGAACGGCAGUACAGUAAGAGCUUGCUCUUAAGGGUGGCGAGUGGCGGAUGGGUGCGGAAUACAUCGGAAUCUCCUUUUUUGUGGGGGUUUCCGUAGGGAGACUUACGCUAAUACCGCAUACGACCUACGGGUGAAAGCAGGGGAUCUUCGGACCUUUCGCGUUUGACUGCGCCGAUGUCGGAUUAGCUAGUUGGCGGGGUUAAGGCCCACUUAGGCGAGGGUCCGUAGCCGGUCUGAGAAGAUGAUCAGCCACACUGAAAGUGAGACACGGUCCAGACUCCUGCGGGAGGCAGCAGUGAGGAAUAGUGGACAAUGUGCGCAAGCCUGAACCAGCCAUACCGCGUGGGUGAAGAAAGCCUGCGGGUUGUAAAACCCUUUUGUUGUGAAAGAAAAGCAGCAGGUUAAUACCCCGCUGUUCUGACGGUACCCAGAAAAUAAGCACCGGCUAACUUCGUG